rnacentral:rRNA from 1 species
ACUCAAAUGAAUUGACGGGGACCCGCACAACCAGUGGAGCAUGUGGUUUAAUUCGAGACAAAACGAAGAACCUUACCCAGUUUUGACAUACUACCGUACAUGAACCCAGAAAUGGGAUCAAAUCUAAAUUUAUUUGGAUGGUAGAACAGGUGUUGCAUGGCCGUCGUCAGCUCGUGCCGUAGGGUGUUCCCUUCAGUGGGGUAACGAGCGCAACCCUUGCCCUGAGUUGAAUAUUCUCAGGGGACUACUUGAAUUUAUUUCAGGUGGAAGUGAGGACGACGUCAGGUCAGCAUGGCCCUUAUGACUGGGGCUACACACAUGCUACAAUGGAGCCGACAAUGGGUUUGCCAAGAGGUAACUUGGAGCUAAUCCCAAAAACGGCUUCUCAGUGGGGAUUGAGGGCUGCAAUUCGCCCUCAUGAACGCGGAAUUGGUAGUAAUCGCGCAUCAGCUAUGGCGCGGUGAAUACGUUCUCGGGUCUUGUACACACCGCCCGU